rnacentral:lncRNA from 1 species
GGCCAACGGGCCCAAUUCGGUAAAAACACUCGGUAAGUGUUUCUGUUAAUACGUUAAUGGCUUUAAUAUGCAUGAAAACCCUAUAAUAGUAAAUUUACUAAACUACCCUCAAGUAUGAAAUUACCAUUAUACCCCUAAGUGUAAAAUGAUUGUUAUACCCCUAGGGUUAAUUUUGACUGAAAUGCAUGAUAUUUUGAUUCUGUUUGUGGUAUGCCCUGACAUGUAAA